AACGAACGCUGGCGGCAUGCCUAACACAUGCAAGUCGAACGAGACCUUCGGGUCUAGUGGCGCACGGGUGCGUAACGCGUGGGAACCUGCCCUUAGGUUCGGAAUAACUCCCCGAAAGGGGUGCUAAUACCGGAUAAUGUCUUCGGACCAAAGAUUUAUCGCCUUUGGAUGGGCCCGCGUUGGAUUAGCUAGUUGGUAGGGUAAAAGCCUACCAAGGCGACGAUCCAUAGCUGGUCUGAGAGGAUGAUCAGCCACACUGGGACUGAGACACGGCCCAGACUCCUACGGGAGGCAGCAGUGGGGAAUAUUGGAAAAUGGGCGAAAGCCUGAUCCGGCAAUGCCGCGUGAGUGAUGAAGGCCUUAGGGUUGUAAAGCUCUUUUACCCGGGAUGAUAAUGACAGUACCGGGAGAAUAAGCUCCGGCUAACUCCGUG
rnacentral:rRNA from 1 species